AAUCAGAUAGCUCGACUGGCCACAACUGCAGUCCAAAUACCAGAAUGCAUCCAUGCCACCUGGUUUUUGACAUUACUGCUGUGGACAGAUUUUCAGCAAUGCAGCCAUCCUGGUUGCUGAAGCCACAGAGGUAUUUUCAAG